rnacentral:rRNA from 1 species
UACGUAGGCAGCGAGCGUUGUUCGGAGUUACUGGGCGUAAAGGGUGUGUAGGCGGUUUUCUAAGUUUGGUGUGAAAUCUCCCGGCUCAACCGGGAGGGUGCGCCGAAAACUGGGAGACUAGAGUGCGGGAUGGGAGAGUAGAAUUCCUGGUGUAGCGGUGAAAUGCGUAGAUAUCAGGAGGAACACCGGUGGCGAAGGCGGGUCUCUGGGCAGUAACUGACGCUGAGGAGCGAAAGCGUGGGGAGCGAACGGG